AUUGAACGCUGGCGGCAGGCCUAACACAUGCAAGUCGAACGAGUGGCGGACGGGUGAGUAAUGUCUGGGAAACUGCCUGAUGGAGGGGGAUAACUAAUGGAAACGGUAGAUAAUACCGCAUACCAUCGGAUGUGCCCAGAUGGGAUUAGCUAGUAGGGGGGGUAAAGGCUCACCUAGGCGACGAUCCCAAGCUGGUCUGAGAGGAUGACCAGCCACACUGGAACUGAGACACGGUCCAGACCCCUACGUGAGUCAGCAGUGGGGAAUAUUGCACAAUGGGCGCAAUCCUGAUGCAUCCAUGCCGCGUGUAUGAAGAAGGCCUUCGGGUUGUAAAGUACGUUCAGCGGGGAGGCGUUACCCGCAGAAGAAGCACCGGCUAACUCCGUGCCAGCAGCCGCGGUAAUUC
rnacentral:rRNA from 1 species